rnacentral:misc_RNA from 1 species
UCAAACUUGGUCAUUUAGAGGAAGUAAAAGUCGUAACAAGGUUUCCGUAGGUGAACCUGCGGAAGGAUCAUUAUUGAAGUCGUUGAGAGGUUUGUUGCUGGCCCCCCGGGGCAUACUGUGCACGACCUCUCUCACUUUAUCAACCACCUGUGCACUCUUUGUAGUCUUUUCAGAUGAUUUCUUCAGGAUCCUUUGGAUUUUGUUGUAGGGACUUUUGCUGUGUGCAUAAUUCUUGCGUGCAGCCUCAGUUCAAUAUCUGACAAAGGCUAUCUUUUUACAUAUAACCUAUUGAUGUCUAAGAAUGUAUACUUAUGGUCUUUUGGACCUUUAAAACUUAUACAACUUUCAACAACGGAUCUCUUGGCUCUCGCAUCGAUGAAGAACGCAGC